CAGGUCAUUAAAGAUUGCAUAUUUUGGCGUUAAUAUUGAUUCACUUAUAGGGUCUUUGCAUCGGAACUAAACACAUUUAUUCAAAAACCAGUUGUUGGCAUGACACGGGUUAUGUUCUUCUCAUAUAUGUUAUGAUGGUAUGAUACUAAACCCCUAACAGGAAGGAUUGUGCCUGAUGUUCAUAUGAUGAAAUCAUAAUCUUUCAGUCAGUUUAAUUGAAGUCUGGAGCUGGCAUGUCAGUUAACUGCUAGUAGUCUGUUGUUAUUUAUGUAUUAUUGUCAUUUUGUUUAUUUUCUUUGGUUACAUCUUCUGACAUCAGACUCGGACUUCUCUUGAACUGAAUUUUAAUGUGCGUAUUGUUAUGCGUUUACUUUUCUACAUUGGCUAGAGGUAUAGGGGGAGGGUUGAGAUCUCACAAACAUGUUUAACCCCACCGAAUUUUUGCGCCUGUCCCAAGUCAGGAGCCUCUGGCCUUUGUUAGUCUUGUAUUAUUUUAAUUUUAGUUUCUUGUGUACAAUUUGGAAAUUAGUAUGGCGUUCAUUAUCACUGAACUAGUAUAUAUUUGUUUAGGGGCCAGCUGAAGGACGCCUCCGGGUGCGGGAAUUUUUCGCUACAUUGAAGACCUGUUGGUGACCUUCUGCUGUUGUUUUUUUUCUAUGGUCGGGUUGUUGUCUCUU
rnacentral:lncRNA from 1 species